UGCCCUGUAGCUCAGUUGGCAGAGCACCCACCUGUUAAGCGGAGGGCCGCAGGUUCAAGCCCUGCUAGGGCAGCCA
rnacentral:tRNA from 1 species